rnacentral:rRNA from 1 species
UAUCAAUAAGCGGAGGAAAAGAAACUAACAAGGAUUCCCCUAGUAACUGCGAGUGAAGCGGGAAAAGCUCAAAUUUAAAAUCUGGUGGUCUUUCGGCCAUCCGAGUUGUAAUUUAGAGAAGCGUCUUCCGCGCUGGACCGUACACAAGUCUCCUGGAACGGAGCGUCAUAGAGGGUGAGAAUCCCGUCUUUGGUACGGACCCCCAGGGCUUCUGUGAUGCGCUCUCGAAGAGUCGAGUUGUUUGGGAAUGCAGCUCAAAAUGGGUGGUGAACUCCAUCUAAAGCUAAAUAUUGGCGAGAGACCGAUAGCGAACAAGUACCGUGAGGGAAAGAUGAAAAGCACUUUGGAAAGAGAGUGAAACAGUACGUGAAAUUGUUGAAAGGGAAACGCUUAAAGUCAGUCGCGUCCGCCGAGACUCAGCCUCGCUCCGGCUUGGUGUAUUUCUCGGUCGACGGGUCAGCGUCAAUUUCACCCCUCGGAUAAUGGCAAUGGAAAGGUGGCACCUUUGCGGGUGUGUUAUAGUCCUUUGUCGCAUGCGAGGGGUGGGAUUGAGGAACUCAGCACGCGCGCCCUCUGGGGUGUGUCGGGGCCUCGGCCCACGCCACGUGCUUAGGAUGCUGGCGUAAUGGCUUUAAACGACC